AACGAACGCUGGCGGCAGGCUUAACACAUGCAAGUCGAACGCAUCCUUCGGGGUGAGUGGCAGACGGGUGAGUAACGCGUGGGAACGUGCCCUUCAGUUCGGGAUAACCCAGGGAAACUUGGGCUAAUACCGGAUACGUGCGAGAGCAGAAAGAUUUAUCGCUGAAGGAUCGGCCCGCGUCUGAUUAGCUAGUUGGUGGGGUAAUGGCCCACCAAGGCGACGAUCAGUAGCUGGUCUGAGAGGAUGAUCAGCCACAUUGGUACUGAGACACGGCCCAAACUCCUACGGGAGGCAGCAGUGGGGAAUAUUGGACAAUGGGCGCAAGCCUGAGCCAGCCAUGCCGCGUGAGUGAUGAAGGCCUUAGGGUUGUAAAGCUCUUUCGUCCGGGACGAUCAUGACGGUACCGGAAGAAGAAGCCCCGGCUAACUUCGUGCCAGCAGCCGCCGUAA
rnacentral:rRNA from 1 species